UUUCCCUACGGGAGGCAGCAGUGGGGAAUAUUGCACAAUGGGGGGAACCCUGAUGCAGCGACGCCGCGUGAGUGAAGAAGUAUUUCGGUAUGUAAAGCUCUAUCAGCAGGGAAGAAGAUGACGGUACCUGACUAAGAAGCCCCGGCUAACUACGUGCCAGCAGCCGCGGUAAUACGUAGGGGGCAAGCGUUAUCCAGAUUUACUGGGUGUAAAGGGAGCGUAGACGGCUGUGCAAGUCUGAAGUGAAAUGCCGGGGCUCAACCCCGGAACUGCUUUGGAACCU
rnacentral:rRNA from 1 species